rnacentral:rRNA from 1 species
ACGGGAGGCGGCAGUGGGGAAUAUUGCACAAUGGGGGAGACCCUGAUGCAGCGACGCCGCGUGAGUGAAGAAGUAUUUCGGUAUGUAAAGCUCUAUCAGCAAGGAAGAAAAUGACGGUACUUGACUAAGAGGCCCCGGCUAACUACGUGCCAGCAGCCGCGGUAAUACGUAGGGGGCAAGCGUUAUCCGGAUUUACUGGGUGUAAAGGGAGCGUAGACGGCAUAGCAAGUCUGAAGUGAAAUGCAUGGGCUCAACCCAUGAACUGCUUUGGAAACUGUUAAGCUAGAGUGCAGGAGGGGUAAGUGGAAGUCCUAGUGUAGCGGUGAAAUGCGUAGAUAUUAGGAGGAACACCAGUGGCGAAGGCGGCUUACUGGACUGUAACUGACGUUGAGGCUCGAAAGCGUGGGGAGCAAACAGGAUUAGAUACCCUGGUA